rnacentral:rRNA from 1 species
CCUCACUGCUAUCGAGGUGGGACUAAGCCAUGCUAGUCGAACGACCAGAACCAUGUCUGGUAGUGGCGCACUGCUCAGUAACACGUAGCUAAUCUAACCUUAGGACGGGGGCACCCCCGAGAAAUUGGGGCUAAUCCCCGAUAGGUGUGAUGUCCUGGAAUGGUAUUACGCCCAAAGGUACCAACAGCAUGUUGUUGUUAUGCCUAAGGAUGGGGCUGCGGCCGAUCAGGCAGUUGGUGAGGUAAUGGCUCACCAAACCUUUGACCGGUACGGGCCAUGAGAGUGGUAGCCCGGAGAUGGACACUGAGACAAGGGUCCAGGCCCUACGGGGCGCAGCAGGCGCGAAACCUCCUCAAUGCACUGACGUGUGAAGGGGUUACCUCGAGUGCCGCCUGAAGAAGGCGGCUUUUCCUUGGUCUAAAAAGCCCUGGGAAUAAGAGGGGGGCAAGACUGGUGUCAGCCGCCGCGGUAACACCAGCCCCUCGAGUGGUGGGGAUGAUUAUUUGGCCUAAAGCGUCCGUAGCCGGCCGAGUAAGUUUCCCGUUAAAUCCAGCGUCUCANGCGUUGGACUGCGGGAAAUACUGCCCGGCUAGAGAGUGGGAGAGGUAAGCGGUAUUCUGGGGGUAGGGGCGAAAUCCUUUGAUCCCCGGAGGACCACCAGUGGCGAAGGCUGCUUACUAGAACACGUCUGACGGUCAGGGACGAAGCUGGGGUAGCGAACCGGAUUAGAUACCCGGGUAGUCCCAGCUGUAAACGAUGCACGCUAGGUGUUGGGUCGGCCACGCGCCGCCUCAGUGCCGCAGGGAAGCCGUUAAGCGUGCCGCCUGGGGAGUACGGCCGCAAGGCUGAAACUUAAAGGAAUUGGCGGGGGAGCACCACCAGGCGUGAAGCCUGCGGUUU